UACUAUCCUGGACACACCAAAUCUUGUCCAGUCUUGGAAGCUAAGCAGGAUGAACAAGGUUAGUACUUGUGUGGGAGAAUUAAUUUU
ensembl:rRNA predicted gene, 24747